rnacentral:rRNA from 1 species
GACAGAGGGUGCAAACGUUGUUCGGAAUUACUGGGCGUAAAGCGUGUGUAGGCGGCCGCGCAAGUCGGAUGUGAAAUCCCCGGGCUCAACCCGGGAAGGGCACCCGAAACUGCACGGCUCGAGUACCGGAGAGGUUGGUGGAAUUCUCGGUGUAGAGGUGAAAUUCGAAGAUAUCGAGAGGAACACCGGUGGCGAAGGCGGCCAACUGGACGAGUACUGACGCUGAGACACGAAAGCGUGGGGAGCAAACAGG